UCAAAACUACGUAGUUUUGAUUAAAAUCUAUUAAAUUAAUUUUAUUUUCCAUUAUCUCCUCUUCUCCCUCUACAUCGUACCUGUAGAUCAAGAUCAAUCGAUCACUACAUCAUAUCAUCGCUCCCUAGUUCCAUUGAUUCUAUAUAACCAUCAAUCUCGAAGCUUGUUGUUGGCUUGUUGUGAUGGCAGUUUUAAAGAAUCGCUCGUGGCCCUUUCAACUUUCAAUGUCGGCUAUGGCGGGCACUCGACUUUUGCAAGGAUCAGUGAUGUCAACAGGCAAACGAGAUCUAGAGACAAGUGUUUUGGUGGAUGAAGUUACCAACGGAUCAGCAGUGGGAAUCUGUAAAAGAAUUGGUGCAGAGCGUAAACGGGAUGGAUAUGUUGACAAGUCGCAAGAAGAUAGUUCACGCAAUAGUCUCACUAACACUAUGGACAAUAUGGAGUGCGAGAAAUAGGAAACGGUUUGAAGGAAAAGAAGUUAGGUCAUACAAACUGGUAGUGGACAUAAAAGAAAUUUUUUUCCAAUGGAUGGCGAACAGAAAAAGAGCUCUCGAUAUUGACUAGGGCAAAUGGAGAAGUUUCGUAGAAAUUGAUUAAGAAAGAAGCAAUGUGUUAGUCUGAUUAUGUAUGUUUUUUACGUACUGUUUCUUUCUUUUUUGUACAAUGUACCAGCAACAACAGCAGCUGGUUGUUGAUUGAAUAAAAGUACCAGCAACAA